GUGCUCCGGUAGAAUUCUUCAUGGCAUGAGGUGGCAGUGGCUAUGGGGUCAAGCUCCUCUGCCUUUGGAAAGGGAAGAAGAGUGGGAAGGACUGCGUCUUAUGGUUUCAGUGCCAACUUAGCCACAAUACCAUAGAACACCAGGUAGGCUUCUAAGGUUUUUGAUAGAACACCAAGCAGAUUUAUCCUAAUGAAGACUACCUCAAGACAUUUAAUAAUCAUACUCCCAAAGGUAAACAAUACAGAAAGAAUCCUUUAAAUGCAGCAAGACAGAGGAAACAACGUACAAGGGAGCUCUGGCUGUUCCGCUAUGGAGUAGCCAUUCUUUUAUUUCUUUACUUUCUUAAUAAACUUGCUUUCACUUUAUGGAUUCACCUCAAAAUCUUUCUUGUGCAAGCUCCAAGAACCUUCUCUUGGGGUCUGGAUCGGGACCCCUUUCUAGUAACAUCUUCCUGGCGAACCAUGAAGGGAUGAUACUGAGGAGACCCCCGACCCAAAGGAAAUAGACUGCAGCAACAAUUGACUGACUUUGGGUAAGUGGUGGGGUAUCCAGUAAAGGAUGGGAUUGAGUUAGAGGCCCAAUUUAGGGGAGUUAGAGCCUCUCCUAGAAACAGAGAGGGUUAAAGCACUUUCUCUAGAGACAGAGAGGGUUAAAGGCCCCUCUUAAAAGGCAAUGACACUUGACCAAACUUGGGUUUGAGGCCCAACUUAGGAAGGUUACAGACCUUCCUAAGAUUUAGGGGGUUAGAGGAUCCUCUCAAUAAAGUCCCUGUCGGCUAAAAAAUUGAUUUGACACCAUGGGAUGUUAACUGUUACUCUCUUUGGAUUAAUCUGCCUUGCACUCUGCUGAUGGCUGUGACAGGAUUAGGCAGGUACAGGAUCAUGGGAUAAGGGGAGCUUUUUUUUCCCUAAAGGGGAAAACUUGAGAGCUAAUGGGAAUGCUGCAGAAGAUCCUUUGUGACCAACAAACAGCUGCCUGAACUUUUGAUUAAAUGUCACUGCAAUGGGUGGGUCUUUCUCUAGCCUCCCUGAGCUCUUCGACUUCCCCACCUUGCAGCAAGCAAUGCUUUUCUCUCUCUCUCUUCUUUCCCUUUAUUAUUUUUUCUGUUACUUGGGGUGACCAUCUUGCCCAGAGAACCACAUGUUGAAACUAUUUUAAUCCACUUUGAAUGGAUUAAAGGUGACAGAGCCCAUCAGGGGGCAAGUUUGAGCUUUGCCAGCUCAAUAUUUGUAUGGUUUGUCAUAUGUAUUUUUCUCUGGCUGAAUGGAAAAUAUUAAUUCAGGUCCCCCAUGCAACCAGUUGGGUGGCCACUUGCAAAAUUGAGAGGCUUUUGCCUGUGGUUCCAUGAAACAGAAAAAAAAAAUUCUUUUGUGUUGUGGCUUGGCCCCAAGGGCUUUGAGGUAGCAAGCAAGGUUACUAGGGCUGCUCAGGGAAAGAGAACCCAGAAACCUGACAUGUUAGCAAAAGGGUAAGGAUUUCUUACUGAUCAGACUUCUGUCCUCUUUCUUUAUGCAAACUGGUUGAAUGAAUGGUAAAAAUCACUGUUUAUCUCAUCUGUAAAGUUUUGAUUAAUAGGAAAAACAAUUUGUGAGGCUAGUCUUAAGCUGUAGCAAAUCUGGUGUGCUUUGUGUGUCUUUCUGUAUCAUUCUGUCAUAAAGAGGAAUACCUUAGGAUAGAACAUGGGCUUAGGAUCUCAGUUACAAACUGCUGCAGGUCUCUGAAACAACAAAAAAACUGGAUGAAGUUUCCUUCUCAUCUUGUUUCAUAUCCUUGGGAGCUUGACCUUGUAACCAUGUGGCGGUACUCUCUUGGUCUCUGCUAUCCAGGGAACAGAAGUUUGAGGGCUCAUGUCAUAGUUAGCCCUAAAAAUUAUAUUGAGCAGUUAAAAGCCUAUGCAAGCUCAAAACUGACUGCUCUAGGCUCCUUCUGGGAAGAGCAAUAGAACUGUCCAGUGCUGUAGCUUAGUAGCUAAGGCUUAUUAGUUUCACCUGGGAGAAAGUUCAAAAGCCAGAAAUAUUGGCCAUUGGCCUGGCUUUACUUACACCUUAUGCAAAAAUUAACUCAAGAUGGAUUAAAGGCUUAAAAGUAAAACCCAAAACCAUAAAAACUCUAGAAGAAAACCUAGGCAAUACCAUUCAGGACAUAGGCAUGGGCAAAGACUUCAUGACUAAAACACCAAAAACAAUUUCAACAAAAGCCAAAAUUGACAAAUGGGGUGUAAUUAAACUAAAGCACUUCUGCACAGCAAAAGAAACUAUCAUCAGAGUGAACAGGCAACCUACAGAAUGGGAGAAAAAUUUUACCAUCUAUCCAUCUGAGAAAGAGCUAAUAUCCAGCAUCUACAAGGAACUUAAACAAAUUUACAAGACAAAAACAACCCCAUCAAAAAGUGGGCGAAGGAUAUGAACAGACACUUCUUAAAAGAAGGCAUUCAUGCAGCCAACAAACAUGUAAAAAAGCUCAUCAUCACUGAUCAUUAGAGAAAUGCAAGUCAAAACCACAAGGAGCUACCAUCUCAUGCUAGUUAGAAUGGCGAUCAUUAAAAAGUCAGGAAACAACAGAUGCUGAAGAGGAUGUGGAGAAAUAGGAACGCUUUUACACUGUUGGUGGGAGUGUAAAUUAGUUCAACCAUUGUGGAAGACAGUGUGGUGAUUCCUCAAGCAUCUAGAGCCAGAAAAACCAUUUGACCCAGCAAUCCCAUUACUGGGUAUACACCCAAAGAAUUAUAAAUCAUUCUACUCUAAAGACACAUGCACGUGUAUGUUUAUUGCAGCACUGUUCACAAUAGCAAAGACUUGGAACCCACCCAAAUGCCCAUCAAUGAUAGACUGGAUAAGGAAAAUGUGACACAUACACACCAUGGAAUACUAUGCAGCCAUAAAAAAUGAUGAGUUCAUGUCCUUUGUAGGGACAUGGAUGAAACUGGAAACCAUCAUUCUCAUCAAACUAACACAGGAACAGAAAGCCAAACACCGCGUGUUCUCACUCAUAAGUGGGAGCUGAACAAUGAGAACACAUGGACAUAGGAAGGGGAACAUCACAUACUGGAGCCUGUUGUGGGGUGUGGGAGAGGGGAGGGAUAGCAUUAGGAGAAAUAUCUAAUGUAGAUUACAGGUCGAUGGGUGCAGCAAACCACCAUGGCACAUGUAUACCUAUGUAACAAACCUGCACGAUCUGCACAUGUAUCCCAGAACUUAAGUAUAAUAAUUUUAAAGAAAAAAAGUAGGAAGGAUAAAGUUAAAAUGUAGAGUUUUUAUUAGUUUUCUCUUUGCUUGCUUGUUUUUAUAUAAUUGUUAACUUGUCAUCAGUUUAAAAUAAUAUAUUAUGUUAUUUGCAAGCCUUAUGGUAACCUCAAAUCAAAAAUUAAACAUACAACAUAUAACAAAAAGAAGCUAGACAUUAAAGAACAGCGGUAGGGAAAAUCACUUUCACCAAAAGGAAGACAGGAAGGAAAGAAGGAGGGAAGAGAAGACAACAAAACACCAGUAAACAAGAAAAUGAAAGGAGUAAAUCAUUACUGAUCAAUAAUAACACUGAAUAUAAGUGGAUUAAACUCUCCAGUGAAAAGAAAUAGAGUGGC
rnacentral:lncRNA from 1 species